CUGUGUGCAACAGCAGGGAGUUCACAAUGGAAUCAACAACUGUGGGGAGGAGGAACAGCAACUGCACCGGCAUACUCAGGAUACAGCCUCUGUGAUCUCAACUCUUGGGAAACUGUGCAGAUGUCCUGGCUUGUUCCACCGUCCUGGCUGAUGGUGCUGCCCAAAUAUCCUGCAGAUGAUGAAUGUUGAAGAUGGCAGAAAAUCCUUCCUACAAACUCCUGCUGCAGAAGAGGGUUUUUCCUGAGGAGAAAUAUCAAUGUGACCUGCAAAGACCUGAACCCUGGAGUGAAUUCUAACUAGGAUACUUGUUGUUACAUUUUUAUUAUUGUUUGUUAAGCACCAACAGUGCAAGUCACACAGAAAGUCAUGGUCCCUACCAUGAAGAGCAUACACUCUAGACAGGGAAACAACUCAGUGGGAAAUGGAGGGAAAGUUUCUAAUUUAAAAAACUCUGGAUACUAUUUUAACUAAUACCCAGAAGCUGGAUGACAAGUGAAUCUUACACAUUUAAAAAAAAAAAAAAACACACAUACACACACACUUUCAUCCUUAGCCUCAUUAGGCACUUUUACCAACAACUAACCAAUAAUUACAAGUCUCUUUCACCGAUUUGCUGCCACCUUCUAUGUCUGAAUUAUUUUGAGGGUGAGAUGUUCUAGUAAUUAGCACAAAACACAAUGACGAUGCAGUUCAUUUUUAAGAUUGCCUGGCUAAGAGAAACCAAACACUCUAGAAAACUUUAACAUACCCGUUCAUCAUUUGUUGCUCUGGUAGGCUCUUCUUUACCCUCAUCUGGCAAAGGCAUUCGAGACAAGGUUAGUCCAUUUAGGGCAGCUAGCUUCAGAGGCCCUAUUUUUUUUGCAUCAGUUCUAUUCUU